AGUAAACAAUAAAUAUUAUUCAGAAUUGAGCUCCUACGCUUGUAAAAGUGCUAAGUUAUUAAUCUUUAAAGGUUUUUCGCUUUCGGAUGAAGAUUUGUAGCAUGAAUGAUAGUGAUUCUCCCUAUGGUUGAAUGAGUGGUUAGUGGUAUAGCAAGAUCUAAGCCGUGGAAUUGGUCAAAGAGAUAAAUCUAAUUGUAAAAAUGGUUAAUUUGUUAACUAUAGUUAGUUAAUAAGGUGAAUUGUUCUUUUUACUCAUCUUUAAUUAGUAGUUGGGACUUUUAGAGAAAUAUAUUUGUAAUAGCAAAAAUGUCAUUUCAUUUAUAAGAUAAACAGUGUUUUAACAGUAACAAACUAGAGAGACACAUUUGAAAAUAUUAGGACUUUUAAAGAAACAAUAUAUGAAAAUUAAAUUUUAUAGAAAUAUAUUUGUAAUUCAUUAUUUUUGCAGGAACUAGUAUGAAAUUAAUCCUGAUAAAAAACUUACAAACACACGGACUACUUGAUAUUUUUGAAAACACCAUAGUCUAACUCUAUUAUUUAUCAUCAAUACUUAUUUUGAAUAAAAUUUAUAUUAACAUAUCAGCAGCAGUUGAUAAAAGUAGCAUUUGGGGUAAUCCCUGGCAUGCAAACUCUUUAAAAGGAGAGAGAGAGANAUAUAUAUAUAUAUAUAUAUAUAUAUAUAUAUAUAAUAAAGAAAAUAAAAAUAUAGAAAAUAAAAAUAAAUUUGAAAUACAAUGUAAAGAUUUAUAGAAAAUGAUAAUGCAGGGCAGCUUUGACAAAAAGUAAUACAAUAUCCAAUAAAAAAAUAGCAAAGGACUAUAUAAUAGAAUGUAAUUAAACUUAUAUAGUAAUAGAAUGAAGUUAGAAUACUUUUGGAGUCUGGCUGGGAUACUAUCGAUAGCACGAAGUAUUUGGUGCUAUUAAGUUUUUUGCCGUUAAAUUUACAUCUUUUAUCAUUUUUAUCCGUUUGAUUAUACUAUUCAACCAACCACCCACCCAACCCUAGGGGGCCCACAUCAUUCUAACCCCACAUCUUUUAAUCCAAAGGCGGAAAACUUAAUAGCACCAAGUCAUUGGUGCUAUUAAUAGUAUUCCAACCUAGUUCAUACUUUUGAUAGUAAAUUAACAAUAUUUAUUACCUAUUUUUUAAUCCUUGUAUAUCUAGGGUUUAAAGUUAGAAAGUAAACAAUAAAUAUUAUUCAGAAUUGAGCUCCUACGCUUGUAAAAGUGCUAAGUUAUUAAUCUUUAAAGGUUUUUCGCUUUCGGAUGAAGAUUUGUAGCGUGAAUGAUAGUGAUUCGCCCUAUGGUUGAAUGAGUGGUUAGUGGUAUAGCAAGAUCUAAGCCGUGGAAUUGGUCAAAGAGAUAAAUCUAAUUGUAAAAAGGGUUAAUUUGUUAACCAUAGUUAGUUAAUAAGGUGAAUUGUUCUUUUUACCCAUCUUUAAUUAGUAGUUGGGACUUUUGGAGGAAUAUAUUUGUAAUAACAAAAAUGUCAUUUCAUUUAUAAGAUAAACAGUAUUUUAGCAGUGAGAAACUAGAGAGACAUAUUUGAAAAUAUUAGAACUUUUAAAGAAACAACAUAUGAAAAUUAAAUUUUGUAGGAAUAUAUUUACAAUUCAUUAUUUUUGCAGGAACUAGUAUGAAAUUAAUCAUGAUAAAAAACUUACGAACACACGGACUACUUGAUAUUUUUGAAAACACCAUAGUCUAACUCUAUUAUUUAUUUAUUUAUCAUCAAUACUUAUUUUGAAUAAAAUUUAUAUUA
rnacentral:lncRNA from 1 species